CCCAAAGCACACUGCCAACAAAACAAAGGACUUCAUCGGGGGGAAAAAGUGGAAGGUUUUAGACUGGCCAAGUCAAUCACCUGACCUUAACCCAACAGAUCAUGCAUUUCACCUCCUUGUGGGCAGUGUUCCAGUGGUCCGGCCACUAGUGUAAUGCUCUAUAGAGUUCACAUUAUGGUGAACACGGCCACGACUGGUCCUCUUCCGAAAGAUCCUAAAAGACGUAACACUGGUUAGAAAAGACUGAUAGGUGUGAAGCUUUAUAGUGCAUUAACCCCACAGCACAUGCACAUAUAGUCCAAAACACGUGCACACAAACACUACAGCAACUUACCUGUGCACAACCUCCCUGUAGCAAACAGAUGGAGUUCCCUCCUCUGUAUAAUACCCUCUGUCCUGCAGGCGGAAACUUCUUCUCAGCAUGACACAGCCACACACUCUUUACUACUUUCACUAUGAACAAUAAAACUGACAUUAAUGGCAGCUGGAAAAUUGCCAAGAGUAAGCGUUGUAAUAUAAUUUAUUUGUAAUUUAUUAAAUGUACACAUGGGGGCGUUGGUGCCUCAGUUGGUAGAGUGUGCACCCUAUGUACUGGGCUGAGCCAUUGCUGCAGCGGCCACUCUGUGGCCCUUUGCUGGGUGUAUCCUCUUUCUCUCUAUCUUCCCUGUUUCCAGAUGCUAUCCUACUCUCAAAUAAAAGCCCAACAAAUAGACAGCUAGAAGGUACACGACACUAUCAUAAUAAAUUGAAUUAAAACAAUGUUGUGACACAAAGCAUUAAUAUUGACAUGUCAGCUGACUGGUACUCCCUGAUCUUUACAGUGUUUAUUGCUCUGUUCAUGAUAGGCAUCAGUAUCCAUACUUAAUACCCAGAGAGUGAUUGAGAGGGAGCAAAAUCAAGGCUUAAAGCAGUUAACUCUCAAGUUUGAUUAAAUGUGCACACGUUUAUGUCAAGUGUGAAGUCUGCAGCUCUGCUGGUAACUUGCCGCUUAUUUCUACUGUACAAGAAAUGAAUCCCUGAUUAAGAAUUAUUCAGAAUCAAAUGAAGUUUUUUUUUUCUUAAUCAGAGGAAACAAUCAUAUCACAUCUGAAAGGUGCAAAGAGGCUGAAAUCUGCAGCUCUGAUGUCUGAUUGUUCAGCUGUGAUGAACAAUUCUAUUAGCGUCAUGAUGAUUCUAUUGUGAGGUCGUGGAACAUUCUGUAUGAUUCUAUAGUGAGGUCGUGGAACAUUCUGUAUGAUUCUAUAGUGAGGUCGUGGAACAUUCUGUAUGUAAAUUAGUUUUAAAUAACUAAUUGAACUGAUUUCUUACUCUUGAUUUAAAUAAACUUGUGAUUUAUUUGCUCAGACACAUUGUCAAUAAAGUUUUAAUCACUUGUGUUAUGGUGAAGUCAGGUACUAUACAUCAACUUUAACGCUCAAGCCAAACAUAAAGAAAACCAUUAAAAUAACAUUUGUUGAAAUAA